GACGAACGCUGGCGGCGCGCUUAACACAUGCAAGUCGAACGGAAAGGCCUGCUUUCCCUUGUGGAUUGCGGGUACUCGAGUGGCGAACGGGUGAGUAACACGUGAGUGAUCUGCCCCCAACUUGGGUAUAAGCCUGGGAAACUGGGUCUAAUUCCCGAUAGGACUGCAGGGUGGUGCCUGUGGUGGAAAACGAUUUUCUAGUGGUUGGGGAUGAGCUCGCGGCCUAUCAGCUUGUUGGUGGGGUAAUGGCCUACCAAGGCGGCGACGGGUAGCCGGCCUGAGAGGGUGGACGGCCACAUUGGGACUGAGAUACGGCCCAGACUCCUACGGGAGGCAGCAGUGGGGAAUAUUGCACAAUGGGCGGAAGCCUGAUGCAGCGACGCCGCGUGGGGGAUGACGGCCUUCGGGUUGUACACUCCUUUCGACCGCGAGGAAGCCACCUGGUUGGAAGGGUGGUGACGGUAGUGGUAGAAGAAGCACCGGCUAACUACGUG
rnacentral:rRNA from 1 species